rnacentral:rRNA from 1 species
GAUGAACGCUGGCGGCGUGCCUAAUACAUGCAAGUCGAGCGAACAGAUGAGGAGCUUGCUCCUCUGACGUUAGCGGCGGACGGGUGAGUAACACGUGGAUAACCUACCUAUAAGACUGGGAUAACUUCGGGACACCGGAGCUAAUACCGGAUAAUCUAUUGAACCGCAUGGUUCAAUAGUGAAAGACGGUUUUGCUGUCACUUAUCGAUGGAUCCGCGCCGCAUUAGCUAGUUGGUAAGGUAACGGCUUACCAAGGCAACGAUGCGUAGCCGACCGGAGAGGGUGAUCGGCCACACUGGAACUGAGACACGGUCCAGACUCCUACGGGAGGCAGCAGUAGGGAAUCUUCCGCAAUGGGCGAAAGCCUGACGGAGCAACGCCGCGUGAGUGAUGAAGGUCUUCGGAUCGUAAAACUCUGUUAUUAGUGAAGAACAAAUGUGUAAGUAACUAUGCACGUCUUGACGGUACCUAAUCAGAAAGCCACGGCUAACUACGUG